AUGUGUAACUUGUGUGCGUCUAUAGGAGAUCAAGUCAAGAGAAACAAGAUGGACCUGCUAAUCCAGCAAACGGUGAUGCUUUGGCUCUCUGUUGCUCGCACACUCACAACAGCAGAGCUGGUGAAGCUAAGCACUGUUGACUCUGUCAUUGUGCCAUGUCACCAGCGUGUAACCCUCCGAUGUGGCAUCACCACAUUACAGGAGGGGCUGUCGAUCAAACAUCUGGCCUGGGUCCGCCAGGACGGCAUGCACCUGUGUGACGUUAACGGAACUGGAGUGACCGGGACCCACUCAGGGAGCACACCUAGUACCAUGGAGUGUAGUUAUACCCCGCAGACACAGCUGACCCUGACUCUGCUGCAGGUACAGCCACUGGAGCGGGGAAAGUACUUGUGCAAGCUACGCUCCAAUCACGGAGUAAAGGAGGCCACUACAACGGUGGAGCUGCAAGAGUGCUACAGGGAGGCCCAGCCCAGUGUCAGUGAUGAGGGCCCAACCUGCCGCUUCACUGGGGUCUACCCUGAUGGAGAGGUGCACUGGUUCCAGGGACCCAACAACGUGACUGGGGACUCUACAAUCAACACUAAACAAGUGGAAGAUGGAGCGUCAUUGACUAUAACUAGUUCCCUGAAAAGAAAGACCGUCUCUGGGGAAGGGGCCUACAACUGCUCCCUGUGGAUCCCCAGUACCGGAGCCUACCUGACCAGCAGCUUAGUGGUACCAGAGCAUAGUAAAGCCAAGGUUGUGCAGCCCAAUGCCAGUGGGGCAGGGUCCAUUGGUCCUUUGUGGAAACCUUUUCUAUUCCUCCUGAGUACUCUCUUCCUGGUGUGA
rnacentral:lncRNA from 13 species